rnacentral:rRNA from 1 species
GGCCCACCAAGGCGACGAUCAGUAGGGGUUCUGAGAGGAAGGUCCCCCACAUUGGAACUGAGACACGGUCCAAACUCCUACGGGAGGCAGCAGUGAGGAAUAUUGGUCAAUGGACGAGAGUCUGAACCAGCCAAGUAGCGUGCAGGAUGACGGCCCUAUGGGUUGUAAACUGCUUUUAUAAGGGAAUAAAGUGAGUCUCGUGAGACUUUUUGCAUGUACCUUAUGAAUAAGGACCGGCUAAUUCCGUGCCAGCAGCCGCGGUAAUACGGAAGGUCCGGGCGUUAUCCGGAUUUAUUGGGUUUAAAGGGAGCGUAGGCCGGAGAUUAAGCGUGUUGUGAAAUGUAGAUGCUCAACAUCUGCACUGCAGCGCGAACUGGUUUCCUUGA